GAGACUCCGGGCUAGGGUCGUGGUGGGAAUCUGGAAGCGUCUGAUUCUCCGUGGCUCCCGGAUCGCGUGCGGACUCAUUUGGCCCCACCAAGUGCUCUUGGGACCGGGCAGAGUUCUAGGGGUUUUGAUUUUGAUUUUGGUUUUAUUUUUAAGAGGAGGGGGUGUGAGCUGGGAGGAGAAUGGACAAAAGACUGUCUGGAACAUUAAUUGGAGCAUUUCAGAUGUGAAGAGCCAUCUAAUUCCAUAUUCUUCUUCCUUCAUUUGCUCCAUUAGGCUGACUUCAUUGUUGAAUUCUCAGUUUUGAAAUCGGCCAGUUUCCCUGGCAAAAUCUGACGGAAAUCAGGGGAGACAAUUUAAUCCAAUCCAAGUGCAUUUUAAUUAGGGCAGGCAACUCAACCACAUGUUUACGAUGGAAUUUCUGAAGACUUGUGUACUUAGAAGAAAGGCAUGUACUACGUUUUGCUUCUGGAGAAGCCAGGUUAUACAAAAGCUUUCAGUUAGAAAGAUUAGUACUACCUCUCCAAUGAGCACUGUCAUGCCUGCUUGGGUAAUAGAUAAAUAUGGGAACAAUGAAGUGCUUCGAUUUACUCAGGACAUGAUGAUGCCUAUCAUACAGUAUCCAAAUGAAGUCAUUAUCAAAGUUCACGCUGCAAGUGUAAAUCCUAUAGAUGUUAAUAUGAGAAGUGGUUAUGGAGCUACAGCUUUAAAUAUGAAACGUGAUCCUUUGCAUAUUAAAAUCAAAGGAGAAGAAUUUCCUCUGACUCUGGGUCGGGAUGUCUCUGGUGUGGUGAUGGAAUGUGGACUUGAUGUGAGGUACUUCAAGCCCGGAGAUGAGGUGUGGGCUGCAGUUCCUCCCUGGAAACAAGGCACUCUCUCAGAGUUCGUUGUAGUCAGUGGGAACGAGGUGUCUCACAAGCCCAAAUCACUCACUCACACUCAAGCUGCCUCUUUGCCAUAUGUGGCUCUCACAGCCUGGUCUGCCAUAAACAAGGUUGGCGGCCUGAAUGACAAAAACUGCACAGGAAAACGUGUUUUAAUCUUGGGUGCUUCAGGCGGAGUUGGAACUUUUGCUAUACAGGUAGUGAAAGCAUGGGAUGCUCAUGUGACAGCGGUGUGCUCCCAGGAUGCCAGUGAGCUCGUGAAGAAACUUGGGGCGGAUGACGUGAUUGAUUACAAAUCCGGAAAGAUGAAAGAACAGUUGAAAUCUUUAAAACCGUUUGAUUUCAUCCUUGAUAAUGUUGGUGGAUCCACCGAAACCUGGGCUCUAAAUUUACUCAAGAAAUGGUCAGGAGCCACCUAUGUGACUUUGGUGACCCCGUUUCUCCUGAACAUGGACCGACUGGGCAUAGCAGACGGCAUGUUGCAGACAGGCGUCACCGUGGGCUCGAAGACAUUAAAGGUGGUGGCAUCAUCAUUCUGCAGGCCGGGAAGUAGGCUGAGAGAAGUAGCGUGACCUACACAGCACAGCUGCUAAGGGCCUGAGCUCGGGUGGCCGGGAGCCCACCGCACCGCCAGCUCCACACCAUGGCAGUGGCUGCCGCCACGCCGGGGGCAGGGAGGACGAGCGCAGAGAAAAGACGUCAGCUGUCCCCGCAGUUGCGGGCAGGUGCAGGGAAGGAGGCAGCGCGGUCCUGGCUGUCUGGACAGCUCACAUCUGAUGAAGAGUAGUUGGCAGCAUUUCUGGGAAGGAGUCCAUUAUCGCUGGGCCUUCUUCAUGGCCAGUGGUCCAUAUCUAGACAACAUUGCGGAGCUGGUGGAUGAGGGAAAGGU